rnacentral:lncRNA from 1 species
AGCAAAGCAAACAAACUUAAUACAUAGCAAUAAUAAUCAUGUUCUUGGCUUCAAUCCUGGAAAGAGGGCGUUUAUCCACGCAUAUUCAUAAUCGCAAUCACAAUGUUGUAAUUAAUGACUAAAACCAUGUAUGAACUAAAUGAAAUUAAUAAAAACCUAAUUAUGAAGUUUUAGCAGCCCCUUGAUCUCCAAAAUAUGUCCAAAGAUAUGUAGAAACAUAAUACAACAUGAAUAUAUAGUAUAAGGGUAAGCCAAGUCCCUGUAGGAGUCAAAUUAGCUUUAAAAUACUAGGUGCGGAGUGGAGAGUACGCCACACCCUCCAUAGCUGUAGAAUAGGUCAUGCUAUGAACCCACCUUGUAUUGUAAAGGAGUGGAGCAUGCGACGCAUGCUAAACGCAUGCACUCUCUAGAAUUUACCCUCUGAAUUUUGGUUAAGUGUUGGCCCUUCCUCCUUCCAUCUCUUGUAUUGUGGUGUAUUCCCUAUGAAUUACAAGCAUAUUUAACAUCAAAUAUCAUCAUAUUCAGCUAAAAAAUCAUUCUACAUUAUCACACCGUAUGAAUUAGAAGCACAAACAAUAGUAAACCAAUUUAAAAUACUAGGUGCGGAGUGGAGAGUACGCCACACCCUCCAUAGCUAUAGAAUAGGUCAUGCUAUGAACCCACCUUGUAUUGUAAAGGAGUGGAGCAUGCGACGCAUGCUAAACGCAUGCACUCUCUAGAAUUUACCCUCUGAAUUUUGGUUAAGUGUUGGCCCUUCCUCCUUCCAUCUCUUGUCUUGUGG